rnacentral:lncRNA from 1 species
AUGAAUCUGUUCAAUGACAAUGCAGUGUCACAUUUCUACAAAACCCUCAGCAGGGAGCAAAAGCAAGUGUCAUUAGAUAGGUUCCUUGUUUUGUUUGUUUGUUUGUUUUGUUUUGUUUACUUUUUGUACCUGGGAUCAAACCCAGGACCUUUUGCUUACAAGGCAGGCAGCAAAACCACUGAACUAAAUCCCCCCCGGAUGGGUUCCUUGCUUAAGCUGCAUGAAAAGAAAAAGAUUCCACUGAGCCUACAGAGAGCAGAGUCCAUUCGUGAUAGUGAAAGUCAUCUACACAACAACACUCUUGUCUCUUAUCACUCUCACACCAGCCACAAAGGUUUUCAAAGUGACCCAUGUUAGAGGAGGAAGAUAGAACUUUGAGAGCCCCAUCUGCCACCCCAAAGCCACCAUCCUCUCAUCCUCGGCCAGCACAAACCUUUACAGGAACAAGCAGCAGCCAAAUACACCCCAGAAAUUACUUGGAGACAUCUGUGAGCAUCCGUGCAGUCCACCCAACCCAUAACAGUAGCUACAACCACUGUCUUCAUCAACUAUAGCACCACUCAUGUACUCCUGCCCGGAGACCCAGAACACCACCAGGACAUGAUGCUCUGGAUCUCAUGGAACAUGACCUCAUCUGAUGGUACAGUUAGAGGGGGGACUGGUCUAACUCAUCUAAUCACAUUGGGCCCCUGUCUCUGGGGCACACAAACUAGGACUCUCUUGGGAGUCUCAAAAAGCAGGUGACAAGACAAAGGAGGCUUUCUGAGAUUGCUGGAUGGGCCGGCUUUCUGAACAUACUUGGCUGGAGACCCAUAAGUGCCAGGAGCCAGGGACCCUAGCCACCCCUGCAUCAACCUCCUCCUUUCCAGCUGUCUUUUCCCUCUGCUAAGUUAAUAUUCUGAGCUUGUUCAUUUUCCAGGAUAGAAAGUUUAACAUCUUCAUUUCAUCCUGGUCCUUCCACGACUGGUAGCAAGAGGCUGAGUGGGCUUGGAGACCCAAGGUCUACACCCUCUGGGAUGGUGCAAGGAGCUCUAGGAAGGAGAAGACAUGGGAACAG